rnacentral:rRNA from 1 species
GAUGAACGCUGGCGGCGUGCCUAAUACAUGCAAGUCGAGCGAACAGACGAGGAGCUUGCUCCUCUGACGUUAGCGGCGGACGGGUGAGUAACACGUGGAUAACCUACCUAUAAGACUGGGAUAACUUCGGGAAACCGGAGCUAAUACCGGAUAAUAUAUUGAACCGCAUGGUUCAAUAGUGAAAGACGGUUUUGCUGUCACUUAUAGAUGGAUCCGCGCCGCAUUAGCUAGAUGGUAAGGUAACGGCUUACCAAGGCAACGAUGCGUAGCCGACCUGAGAGGGUGAUCGGCCACACUGGAACUGGGACACGGUCCAGACUCCUACGGGAGGCAGCAGUAGGGAAUCUUCCGCAAUGGGCGAAAGCUUGACGGAGCAACGCCGCGUGAGUGAUGAAGGUCUUCGGAUCGUAAAACUCUGUUAUUAGGGAAGAACAAAUGUGUAAGUAACUAUGCACGUCUUGACGGUACCUAAUCAGAAAGCCACGGCUAACUACGUG